AUGGCGUUUUGUUGUUUUGUGAAACGAAAGAAAUUAGCAUACGAUUACUUGUGGGAAGAAAUUGUUUGUUUACUGGAAGCUAGUUCUUCUUGUUUAUACUUUGCUUAAAUGAGCGAGGAUGCAACAAGAAUUUGCUAAAGACAAACAGGCAAAGAAAAAGAAUGUGAAAACGUGGAGUGAGGCAGCUAAACUUGUUUUUGAAAUGCAUCCUCAAACCCCAAAGAGCCAUAAUGAUAUACUGGAUGAAAUCCAAGUUACUGGAGUAAAGGAUGUGAGUGGCUCGGGAUCAUUGGUUUAUUUGAAUGCAGCAUUGAGAGCUCAGUCUCGUGGUCCAGGUGCUGUGUUUUACCGUAUGUCUGGUUCCAACAGUGUUUUUGGUCUGAAGAGCGAGAUACCUGAAGGAACUGUACUUGUUGAAGUUGAGGAAGACAUGAGAGAAGAACCCGAAUUUGAGGAAACCAAUGGUAGCAAAGUACAAUCCCCUAUUGGUCAGAAAGUUCUCUGCAUUCGAAUACCUCCUAGUUACACUAAGCCUUCCAGCUCAUGUCCAACACUCAAGCCCGUUGACACUGGUGCGCCUGUCAUUGAAACACAAGAUAAGGGAGAUUUAAAGAAUGGUGUGGGUGUGCUUUUAGGUUCUGAUGAUUCUUUUGACAAAAACAUCACUAAUAAUGAAAGGACUACAAAUGUAACUGAAAAAACUAAAGUUGUGAAUGGAGAUUUUGAAAAUUAUCUAGAACCACAGGAAAAUUUAGUGUCAAAGGAUGAAAAUGAGUCAGACUUGGGUUUAAGUACCUCUAUUCAGUCGCCAUUGUCAUCACUUAUUGGAAGUCCCAGUCAGGGAAAGAUUUCUCAGAGUCAUAGCCAGCGAGCUAUAAAGCAUGCUCUACGCCAGCAACAAAAGAGGAGGAAAAGAAACACUACAGUUGCGUCUAGUUGUAGUCCUACCCCAUCAAUUUCUCAUAUUGUCAUGAAACAUCUUUCCCCUCUACCAGGAUCUUUAGUAGAACGUCUUAGUGUGAAUGUUGUCACUGGUUGCAAUGUAGGAACGUUAAACAGUUUGGAAGAUUCCAGAGACACAGAAACGAACAGUGUAUCGGAUGGUGAGAAAAAGGAUUUGUCACCUACAUAUAGCAAGCCACAAACAAUGAGGGAAUUUUUAGCAUCAAUUCCUGGAUUAAGCUUGAAGCCAAGAAAAUGUUCCAACAAGAAAUUAAGUAUAGCUGCUCAAAUUGCUCAAACUAAAAAAGGAUGUAUAGAUGUGGAAACUCCAGACUCAAUAUUAGUUAACAUCAACUUGAAAGCAUUAAUUAACAAGCAUACUUUUGCAAGCCUACCCUCACUUUACCAGUACCGUCUUGUUCAACUUCUACCAUCUGUGGAUCGAGUUAUCGGGUCAGAUUAUUCAGUUAGGUUGAGUGCUUUGGCUCUCAGCAAUGAGUUCUUUGCUAGAGCUUGCCAGGACUGGCAAAAACGACUUGCAGAAGGAGAAUUUACUCCUGAGAAUCAGCAAAAGAUGAAAGUGGAGGUGGAAAAAGAAAAAGGAAAACUGGAUCCUUGGAAAUUGAAAUAUUUUGAACCUGUUUGGGGCAAAAAGAACAUUCCUGACAUUAGUGAUCAAAGAAAAAUUUCCUCUUUUCGGAUGGGAACUUCUUCAACCAAUAAACACGUACCUACUAUUAAAAUAAAACCAGUUGUUAAAAAGAACCGUCUUGUGCCUGUCAUUAUAAAGCACCGGUCACCAGGAGGAGUUACUCCAACUGGACUAACAACCUCUCUUCAGAACAAAGUAACACCUCCUAAAGAAGUGGCAAAUGGACCAUCACCUCUCAAAAGACCAACAAAGAUGCCUUCUGAAACAGAAGCUUCCCCAGUUAAAAAACAGAAAACGUGUAUUCUUCCAAUUGCUCCCAAACCAAUAGCCACACUUGUUAGUAUCCCAAGUGAAGAACACACUGUAUCUGCCUCUCAGGCUGUCUUCAUCACCACACUUUCAUGUACAGAAGAAAAUUCUCAGUCUGUGCUUCCUCAACAAGUCCCUAUAAUGACUAUCUCCCACAGCCCCAAGUUCAGUUUGGGAACCACUGCAGCGGACAGUAUCAUGUCGUUAGUACCUCCUUUAACAAUACAUUCCAUCCCUGUUGUGCAACCUGUUAAUAAUGUCGCUACAACUAGAUCCAUUGUCGAGCACGGUCCUGUCAAUCUGGAAAGAUCCUAUCAAAUCUGUCAGGCAGUUCUAGAGUCCAGCCGUAACAGGUCACACUUUUUCAGUAGCGGUAACGGGCAGAUUAAAGCUCGACCAGGACUGGCUCCAGUGAAGACCAGGUCACUUUCCUGCCCAGCAACCAUGACAUCCAUCAUGUCUUCAGCUUUUGGGAUGAACAGUGUUGCUCUUACCUCUCUGGUUAAUACCUCUUUAGCCAGUACUCUGAUAGUUGGAACUCCUCUUCUACGACCUUCUGUGCAUUAUGUAUUGAAUGAAACUCCAUCCCCUCCUUCCCAAAGUUCAUCAAUUCUUACUGCUUGCUUGCCUUUAGCUACUCAGACUUUUACUGUUAGUUUGUCUCCUUCUCCAACUUACUCUGCUAACAAUCUGCCUUUAUGUACUACUUUAACAACAGAAACUUCUAGCUCAGUGGUGACACCUACCCCUGUAGAAACUGUUGUUAGACUUGUUUCAGAAGGUGUUUCUCAAACUGUGGAUACAUCUAAUACUCAGGAGGAUGAUACUGGAACUGUCCUGACAGUUCCUAUGGAUAUUGAAUCUGAUGAAGAGCAUAGCUCUGUAGUAGUUGUAAAUGGCUCAGCUGAUCCCGAUGUUGCUUCUACACCAGAACAAGUGAUCCUCUUAACAAAUGACAUGUCUUUUGAUUCAGGCAGCAGCACGAACCCAGCGACUCUUCUCAUAGAAUCCGAUGAUGGUACCAUAGAAGGAUUGCUAGAUGAAAACUGUAAAGUAAGUGAUGCCAAAAAUCCAAGAGCUCUUCUAAUGACAGAGGAUUUUGACAACAACAGUGCAGUUGUGCUCUCAUCUAAUCUUAUAAAUGGUUUAGGCACUUGUACACAUAUGGAGAAAGUUGACAGUAGAAACGAUGUAGGCACCUUAGUUCAUCCACCAGCUAACGGAAUAUAUAAUCAACUUCCACAUCAUGUUCCCAGGAAGAAUAGUGUAUAAUAGCCAGGGGUUGCCAAAUAUUUGUGAUAUUUAGGAGCCAGGAUAGUAAUUUAUUUGGGGUACAAAAAUCCCCAACUCGACUUUGAUGAUUAUAAGGGCCAUUGAAUGAGAGAGUUAUGAAAAAUAGCUUUAGAACUAAUGGUUUUCACAGUCUAUGAGCUUUAGCAAAAGAUUGGCACAAAUUAUCAAAUUAUCCAUCUUGACCAGAUUUAUCGGAAACAGCAAGCAAGACGUACUGCCAGUAUUUUCAGACAUUUUUUACUUGUUAUGCCUUUUUUUAUGGAAGUAAACAAAUUGUGAGCUAUUGGGAGAUUUUUUUGCUUAAAGAACUCAGGAAAUUUUCGACGUUAGAUGAUCCCUCACCUUGCUCGUUAUAGUUUCCCAAAGAUCUAACAGUUGUGCAAUUGAAAGCUGUUCGUCAGCACUUGACAGACGUAACUGGUUCACUUCAUCCAGUUUCUACUGACAAAGAUCCAGCAUCAUCCAAACUACUACGUGUGAUGAAAUGUAACUGCGAAUCUAAUACUGAUGUAUGCUGUGGUUCGAGAUGCACUUGCCAAUGGUACGAUCUCCGUUGUACAAGCAUACGUGGCAUCUGCAGUGGAUGAUCUUGUAUGAAGUCUCGACUAGUUAUAUCAGAAGAGGAAGAUUUAGUGAUGUAAGUAGAGGAUGAAGAGUUCCAAUAGGAAUAUUUGAUUAUUACUCCAUCAGAAGAAGAUAAUGAGGUUUUCUACGAAGGUGUGCUAAAUGAAGAGGGGUUUGAAUUGUGCUUUACAGAAAGCGGCAUCAAUCAACUUGCUAACUUGCCUACUUUGUGUCAACUCAUUGGUGUUGCAGGAAGCAUCAGGAAAGUAAAUAAUGUAGAUCACCUUAACAAGAAUAAAACUAAAGAGAGGGGCUUUCCUUGUAUUGUAGUGACAUGAAACUGGGAGGAUGGUACCCACAAAUUCUCCACAUGUGUUAAAGCUGUAAGACCUUUUACAGCACCCCCUGAUUAUGGUGGAAAGUCAAAGAAACUGUUUACUGAAAAGAGGUUCCAGUUGCAAAGGUCUUAAUGAACUAUCAAAUGAGAAAUGUAAGACAGUCAUCAAUGAUGUUGUAAGUGCUGUUCAGUCAACUGGCAGUGUGUUGUUGCCACAAAUUUCUACUCCUAAGAGUGUUGAAGAAGUGUUACCAAAACAGACAUCAGAUACCUCAGCCAACAAGUUCAUCAUUAUGUUGCGUUGUAUCUAGUAAUGGUAUCACGUCAACUUUAUUGGAAGAUACUAAAACACCCAACCUUGUAGGUUAUUCUGCUGCUGAGGUUUCUUUGGCUUCAAAUAGUGGAUAUGAUUCAAGCAUGGUGGUUAAAACAGGAUAUGAUAGUAGUGUGAUGGUUACCUCUAAUUAUGGUCACUCCACUGAUAAUGUCCUAACAGAUCAUUAUGUCUUUGACAGCUUUUCUUAUCCACAUCUAGCAACUAGUUUCUCAACUAUAUCUGUAAGUACCGUUUUUUCAGGCAGUACGGCUUUUCCAGCUUCGGGGAUGUUGGAUUCAGUUUCUAGUACCAUUUUCCAUCCAGAGAACAGUGGCUUGAUGAAUACUCAAACAGUAUCUUUUGUUCCAGCUCUGACACAGAUGUCUAUAAUGUCCACUGGCAUUGUAAUACUUCAUGUCCCACAAAAAGGGGUCACAGCAACUUCUAGUGGACAGGGAGGAAGAAAUAUAUAUGUCUUUCAUUGACCCCAGCAACUACAAAUACCAGCAUAGCUAACAGAGGAGGAAUUCCAGGUAGUGGAGCAUCAUCAGGUGAUCUGAUUGGAGGAAGAGGAAAUUAUGCAUGCAAUCUUAAAGCUGUGGUUAUGUGUCAGAAAUCUGGUGCCUUCUGCCAUGAUGACUGUAUUGGAACUUCUAGGUUGUGUGUUACUUGUCUCAUAAGGUAACCAAACUCAGCAGUUCCUAGUAUUUGACAAUCACUUUAUGUUUCAUGAAGUGUGUGUGUGUGUAUGUUUGGCCAUUAUCAGUCAGUUUUCUCAAGCAAUCAUAUGCUCCAAAGGUGUUCUUUAUGAUAGAAACGUCAUCUGAACAGAAUGAGGUGUGAGUACAUAUGAGUUUCAAAUGUGUAAAAGCCUUUAGAUUUCCAAAUCAAAAGAUAUUGUCCAAAGUAUUGUAAAUUUUAAUAUACUCUCCACAUUCACAAAAGAAACAGCAUUAAAAUGUACUAAUGAACCAUAGUUUUUUCACUUAAGAAUCAUUUAUUCUACAAAAAUGAUUAGCAAAAGAAGAAAAAUGAAAUGUUCUGAAAAACCUAGAUAUUUGUGAAAUUGUCAAGGUAUUACAGAAUUUAGUACAAGGCUCUUUAUAAUUGAAUUGGUGGUCACCAUUAAGAUGACUUUUGUAGAUCUGAAAGUAAAGCAAUAAUAUCAGUUAUAGAUCAUAUUAGUACAAAGUUUUAACUAUUAUGUUCUAAUGUUGAGUUGUCAGUUGUUUUUAUUCUUAGUACUGCCGUUUUGAUUUUUAACAUUUAACGUGACUGUUGCAGUUAUUGUGCAUUCUGUAGAUAGGUAGAGCCUGAAGUUUAUUGGUUCUGAAAAGUUUUUUUUAUUUUUCAAUGUAUGACAGACACUAUUAAUUUUCUAAGGCAAGGGAGCAUUUUUAUGGGAUUUAUGCUUUAGAUGUUCUCUUCACCCCCCCCCCCCCCAAAAAAAAAGAGCCUUUACUGUUUAGCAUGUUUCCUUUCACAGAACAUCAAAGACUGAAUAACAGUAGUUCCAGAAUUGUGUUCUCCUUUGUUUGAUAAUUUAUUCCCUGAAAAUUAUGAACUUUAAACAGAUUUUUAUUGCCUGUGUAGUUUGGUAAGGUAAAAAACCUAAAUGCAACAGCUUUGCACGUUGAUAUUUCAAAAAAUAAAAAAAAAAUGUUUGGCUUGCAUUGCAGAAAAGAAACUAGAAAUAUUUCUUCUUUUAUUCUUGUAUUUAGAUUUAAUCAGUAUUCGAUAUACUAUUAGUUAAAUCUGAAUAAUUAGCUUGAAUUACCAAAUGUUGUCAGUUAGUUAAAUCUACCUUGAUUCAUAACCUGUCUCUUUUAGGAUGACAUUAGUUCUCUUCUAGACACAUGUUUCUAGCCUGUUUGCUGAUAUGUGUAGAAAGCUCUUAGUGUCAAGCUUUACAAUAUUCAUGGAUGAAACAGAGGAUCAAAGCAGACUAUUGGUACAACAAGGAUACCAACAAGCCAAGAUGCUGGAAUUAUCUACUUGAAAAGGUCACAAAUUCUGUACUACAACAAAAUGGCAUUUUUUGAUUUAAAACAGUAAAUAAUAAAAUGUGUAAGUAUCAUUGCAAAAGUACAACAAGAUACUGAAGAUACCAACGGAACAAAAGUGGGAAGAAUAUCAGUUUAUAUAAGGAAAUGAUGGUUAACACAAUUAGCUUUGAAGAGUGCAAUUGGAAGCAAGGAAUAAGGACAGGUUGUAAGAUAAUUACUAGAAGGAGUAGUACUUCACACAAAUAAGAACAUUUAGUAUGAGUGUAAAUAAGUAGAUUGUCUUAAGUUAACUAGCUUAGGGCUAUGUAAUUAAAAAAUGAUAUUAAAAGAUUUAAGUAACAAAGGUGAAAUUCAGAAAGUUGACUUCAGAAGAUUAACUUGCAAAUGUGAAGAAUGUGAUUGAUAGAUAGUAGGAUUAAAAAACAAAGGUGCCAACGAGAAUAUCUGGUUGGUUGUUUGGGUUUAUUGGUGCAAGAAUAAUUGUUUAACAGGAUUAAUGUGAAAAGUGAGAAGGUUGGAUCUAGAGGAUUAUUGUACAGGUGUGGAAACAAAUAGACAGAGAUUAGCUAGUUUAAGUAGUAGCAUUACUUAUGAGAAUGAUAGCUUAAAAAGGAUUAUCUUGGUGGUGUGUGUCUAAAGGGAGAAAUUAAAAGGUUUGAUAUAGAGGAUUAUCAUACAGGUGUGGAAACAAGUAGACAGAGAUUAGCUAGUUUAAGUAGUAGCAUUACUUAUGAGAAUGAUAGCUUAAAAAGGAUUAUCUUGGUGGUGUGUGUGUAAAGGGAGAAAUUAGAAAGUUGGAUCUAGAGGAUUAUCAUACACGUGUGUAACUAAAUAAUAGAGGAUUUAGAAGGUUGGAUUAAGAGAAUGAUCUCACAAGUAUGUAUACUAUAAACUAAGAGGAUAGAGAUAGAGUAGAAAGGAUAAGUAUCUAUAUUACAAGCUAGAAAGAUGGCCAUAAAGGAUUAGCUUGGAAUUGUGUAACUGAGAAAAGAGAGAGAGAAAGAUUAAUAAGAUUCUAUAAUAUGAUAAAUCUUGUAUGAUACAAGUUUUUUAAGUUAAAGGGAAAAUAUUUGAAAAUUGCAUUGGAGUCAGUUUAUUUAAGGAAUAUGACCUUUAGCUCCAGUUGAAGAGUUGCAAAAGUGCCAUUUUUACCUUGGACGAUGUCAUAAUAGAGAAAUGUUGACAUAGCAAACCUCACUUGUACUUGGAGCAAUGUGGUGUGUUUUUCAUGUCUUCUAAAGUAUUUAUUGUUCUGUAAGGGUGCUUUGAAACUCUUUGUAUUCAGUUCAGUACCAAGAAAUUUUAUUUGGAUUCUUUGCUGUAUUUACUUGUGUUAAAUAUAGGUAUAAGUAAUAUUGGUAAAAGAAAUGUGUGUAACAUUGUUGUUAAGCUUUCAUUAUUAUUUAUUUAUCUAUCUUAACUUGUGUAUAGUGCCAAAUGGGAAUUGUCUUAUACAAUUACUAAUUUCUGUGAUUAAUUGAUGAGAAUAUUUUUUCCAAGUUUAUUUUGAGCAUUUAGAAAUGGAGUAGGAAGGUUUCACCAGCUAGAUGUGGGUUACAGAAGGUGUGUAAUCUUAGAGACCACUGUUUAUUUGGUAGAGUUUGAGUACUGUUGUUUUAGACAUGGAAAUCAAUGACUACCACUUUGGAAGAAAUUACAUGUUCUCCAUUUUAUUGUGUAUUUGCUGAGGAAAUAUUACCUAAGUCUAUCAUUGUUUCCAUUUGGCUCAGUCUCUUCAUUCUUUUUUGUGGCUUUACUUGUAAAGAAAAUAAACAAAUGUAAAUAUGGUUGUGGGAUUUCACCCAUUAGUUUAGUUAACUUUUGGGUAUUACUAAACAUUUAAAGAUUAUGGAGCUCUUAUUAUAUUAUGUAUUUAUAAUUAAUAAAUGAUAAUAUCAUUUUUCAAGUCAUCUGUAUUUAUAUUUUUAUAUUAAAAGUCAGUAUUAUUAAUAUCUUUACGAUAAAACAAAUUGUGAAUGUUUAGGAAUUUGAAAAAAUAUUUAGAAUCAUACACUGAACUGUUUUUAAACUUUAAUUUGGCUGGUUUCAAAUAACAUGUUCUGUAAGAUAACGUUACUAAAUUAAACACGGAAAUAACCACAUUCCGUUAGGUACAAUAUUAUUUUCUUCCACAUAUACUGGGCAAAAAUCAUUUUUCGUAUUAUGUUUUGUGUUUUCAUGAUUUGGUUCAUUGUCACAUAGGAUGCUAUCCUUUAUGCAAUUGUCAUUUGUAAUAAAUUGGACAAAAAAAAAAGAAAUAAAAAGAAACUGGAAUGAUGUAUUGAAACAAGUAUGUAAUGUGAUGGUUCCCUGCUGUACACACAAACUUUUAUAUAUUAGGGAUUCUUUAUGUAGUAAAACAAAGCUCCACAGAAUUGGAAUAGAUUGCUUGUUUUUUGUUUUUUUACCUGUAGUUUUUAUUCAUUUUUUUGCAUAAUGAAUGUAAUGUUUCCAGAGUAAUAUCUCAAGUGAACACAUUUUAAAUAUUAGUGAUUUCUAAAUCCCGGCUUCCAUCAUGAUUAUUAUUAUUUUUCUGUAUAAAAAUAUAUUGGUUUUAAUUAAUGUAUAUUGUAAAAUAAAGGUUGAAAUGAUGAGGCUCACAUCUGAACUAUGGUUAUUAACCUUGCAUAUUCAAAAAGAUUAUACUUGGCAAGAACAAAAUUCUAGCAUUGUUGUGUGCUUAAUGUUAUUUAUUUUUUCUUAUUUUGUGAGUUUGACUCUAUUGAAUAUACAGAAUUUGUAAGACAUUUAUUUAAUAUUUUUUUGUACUUGAAUUCAUAAUGGAAUAUUUGUUAUGAAAAAGUGAAUUAUGUUAUAAUUUAUGUAAGAAAGCCAUGGGUUAUGAACGAAUUCCGUCACUUUGUUAAGCUUGAAGGGAGUAGUAUCGGUGUCUUUUAUACAUACUUGAUUACCAGACUUAAGUUUGUAUAUUCGGUGACAAGGAACCCACUUUGAGACUAAUAAUGCUUGGAGACGGCUUGAAUGGGUAAUGAAGAAAACUUUAAUAUAAGUUUAACAUAACAGCAAAUGUACAACGGUUUCGACAAGGUUUUGUCAUUGUCAAUAUUUGAUGUUCGGUAUCAGUCGAAACAAAGUAUAUAUAAAAGUAUCUAUGUACCAAAUCCCAUGCAAACUGGUCAAAAUAUGGCUGAGUAAUUGACCAAAAACCCCAAAAUUAUGCUUUCUUGUCAGCUUUGACCUCUCUAAAAAAAGACUCAAAAUGGUCAAAUCCAACUUUUUUAUAUGUCCCCCUGGAGUGCCAAGAUAUCACUUCUAAGUGUUGCAACAGUAUCUGGUCAUGUGACCUCUUUGGUCCAUACUGUAUAUAUAUCUGCAUCAGUGUAAACUACUUUUACCUGAUGAUGACAAAACCUUAUCAAAACGUUGUACAUCUGCUGUUAUGUUAAACUUAUAUUAAAGUUUUUCUUCAUUACCCAUUCAUACCAUCUCCAAGCAUUAUAAGUUUGUAAAUGUUAAAUUUGGCUUGACAAUACUGUGUCUCAAUGCAAUUUUGUUAUGUGAAGUCAUAGUUAAGAAAGAACAAAAUAAAUAGUUUCAGUAGUCUUUGUGAGGUCAUUGAUUUUAUUACCUCACGAGUUUUUUGUGUUUAAUUUUUUUACUUUUAUAACUACAAAAAAUCAAAGUUGCUUGUUUUUUUUUUUCAGAUAAUCUCAAGUUACAGUAUUGUUGAGGUAUUCCAAUAAAAACGAAUAUUGCAAAGGUUGCAUAUGAAAAAAAUGAAUGCAGCUUAAAUGAGCUAGGAAGAAACCAAACACUGUGAAGUUGACCUAGAAUAAAACAAACCAUCUGUAACACCAGACCAUGUAACCAGGCAAUUAAUUGAAAAACUAGCCAAUAGCCUCCCCAUUGUCAAGUUUUUUAUUCCUAACUUUUCAAUUGUGACUUUGAUUUUAUCAAAUAGUAACAUAAUUUAGGGCCAUAAUUUUUAAAUUACUGUGCUAUGUAUAAUUUUUUUAUGUGCUUAGGCAUUUUAAGAGAUCAAUAUGUACUAUAAAGAAUUUAAAAAAAAAUCGUAACAAGCAUCACAUUUCCAAGAUAAUACUGUUAAUUUUUUUAUGUUUGAAUAUUGCUUUAAUUAUAAAUUUCCACUUGGAUUGUUGGAAAUAUUUUAUUCAUUUCACAGCCUCAUUUAUGGUUUAUUAAACAUUUCCAACUUAACAACAGUUUAGUGACAUAUUGGGUUCACAACAUAAUGAACUUUAUAUCUGUUGUUUAAGACUCAUAACAUAGAUAAAUUAAUACAUAGAAUUAUACACAGAAUUUUCUCUAUGAUAAAAAUACUUUUAUUUGCGAGCUUUCGGCCCUCUUACUGGAGCCUUUCUCUAGCAACAAUAAAGCCCAAUGAAGGCUCUGGUAAGAGGGCCAAGAGCUUGCAAGUAAAAGUAUUUUAAUGUAGAGAAAAGUCUGGUACAAUCCUAUACAUAGAACUUUGUAUUUGUUAAUUUAAAAAGGUGGUUGCACAAAGAUCAAAGUCUUCUUAAAAUCAUGUUAACCCUCAACUGGUAAUGUGGGGUCAGAAUGACCCACAUUGAAUUUUCAAGUUGGUACUCCAACUCAACUAGUGCUGCUCUCUACCUGACCUUUUCUGUACUAUAUCCUCAAUCAGUUCUUGAGUGUUGAGCAGAUCCUGUCUGCUGUUCUAGUUGUUGGUCUUACUGUGGUAAUCAUUUGUGGGUCAUUGUGACCCCACCUUAUUAUGUAGACAUUUUUGAUGUUUAUUACACAUGAGUCAUUUUUACCCACCCUACCACUUAUUAUACAAAUAUUUUACCCUAUCAGUUGAGGGUUAAAUUCACAGGAAUCUCAAGUGAAAACUAGGAAACUUGAAAUUAGAUGUUGGUUAGUUGCAAAUGAGGUGAAAAUCUAUUUACAAACUAACCGUAUUUAAAUUUUAUUAUUUAACUUCUGUGCCUUCUUUUAAUUCUGCAGUUGAAGUUGGAAUAUUUACCUCAUCAUUUGACAUUUUAUUUAUAUGCAAUACAAAUGUUAAUGCUUUGUAAUAGUAAUUGCAUCCUGAAUUGAAAUGUGCAUAAAAAAAUCUGCCACAAAAUCACCACACCAGAUUUGUAAAGAUGCCUUAGCUAACAUGCUUGUAAAUAAAUAUUUGGAUUUGCAAAAUAUAUUAACUUCUGAAAAGAAAAUGCCGGGAUUUAUUGAAAUUGUUAUGUAAAGCGUUGCUAUAGGUUUAUUUUUUGCCAUAGUUUGAACUUAUGGUGUAUCUCUAAAUCUUGGAGCUGAUUAGAUUUGUUUGAAUCUGUGCAAUACCACUAAAUAUUCCUCCCCCCACUUUAAGCUUGAACCAUAUUAUAAGAGUGACAGUUAAUACUUUAGUGUGGGUGGUAGGGUGGGCUGACUGGCUGCCUUCCUCUACUCAGUAGUUCAAAAUUAUGGAUCUCAGUAGAUAGACAUAGUAGCUUUAUCAUAAAUACAAACACCUUUUUUUUCGUCCAGAUUUAAAAUUGAUGCAUAAAAUAUUUCUAGACAGACAUGUAUGUGUAUUGUUGGUUGUUGUAAUGAGGAAGAUCUUCUAGUCAGCCAUCUUUAGACAGACAUGAACGUGUAUGUGUAUUGUUGGUUGUUAUAAUGAGGAAGAUCUUCUAGUCAGCCAUCUUUAGACAGUCAUGAACAUGUAUGUGUAUUGUUGGUUGUUAUAAUGAGGAAGAUCUUCUAGUCAGCCAUCUUUAGACAAACAUGAACGUGCAUGUGUAUUGUUGGUUGUUGUAAUGAGGAAGAUCUUCUAGUCAGCCAUCUUUAGACAGACAUGAACGUGUAUGUGUAUUGUUGGUUGUUAUAAUGAGGAAGAUCUUCUAGUCAGCCAUCUUUAGACAGACAUGAACAUGUAUGUGUAUUGUUGGUUGUUAUAAUGAGGAAGAUCUAUUCAGCCAUCUAUAGACAGACAUGAACAUGUAUGUGUAUUGUUGGUUGUUGUAAUGAGGAAGAUCUUCUAGUCAGCCAUCUUUAGACAGACAUGAACGUGUAUGUGUAUUGUUGGUUGUUAUAAUGAGGAAGAUCUUCUAGUCAGCCAUCUUUCUACUUGUUCUUUUGUAACAGAAAAAAAACCUUAUUGUAUUUUUUUUUUUUUGUAUAUUAAACUAUAUAAUUGUAGGAAAGACUUCUUAAAACAUGAAACUUAGUGUUAAAAAUUUAACAAUUUUUGUCUGGAUUAUUUCUAUUGAAAUAGACAAUUCAGGAAGACUGAAAGAAUCACUGUAGAUAUUGGCAUAACGUCAGAACUUUUCAUUUUUGUAUAACCAGAUUAUUUAUUUAGUAACAAUGAUACCUUUUUCUCAUUGAGAAAAGUUUUGACUUGGUUUUGUUUAUUGAUUGAUAUGUACCAAAUCUGUAUUUUGUUUUGACACUGCAGGUAAAAAGAUUCCCUUUUAUUGAUACUGUAUAUUGAAAAUUACAGCUGACAUUACAGGAUUGUUAAAAAUGGAUUUGCUCAAAGGCUGUUUCAAGGUUUCUUUGUUAACAUGGUAUGAUUAAGGUAACAACUAACACACAUAAAUAGUUCUUAGCUUCCAGUAGAUAGAGGUAUUUUAUUUAAAAUUGAUAUAGUCCUGCUCAGAAAUGUUGUCCAUUAGACUAGAAAUAAUUAUGUAAGUAUAACAAAGUAGAAGCCUCUAGAUAGAUGUUAAAUGUAGCUAUUUUAUUUAACACUGUUAACUUGAAAACAAUUGGGACUGUCUCAACACAAAACAUGACAUUACCAAUUUCUUUCCACACUGGAAUGAAAGGAAACCAGGUUGUGCAAGAAAAGUAUUUGUACAUGAAAGAGAUGGUCACCUUCAGCAGUGAUAGCUGGCUUUGAAGAGAAUCCUAUAAAUUACUGAUAUGUACAGCUUUUGAGUUGAAUCACGUGAAAGAUCUUUUUAUGUUGUUGCUGGAGUUAGCGUGUUGAGCCCUCAAAUAUUGUGAAAUAUUUUUACACUCAUAAAGAGUUUUUUGUAUAUUUAUUGAAAUCGUGAUUUACUACUACAAGUAUAUCUUUGUUCACACUAACCAUUUUAACUAUUUGUUUUGUCUGUUUCACUGUAAUUUAUUUUGUGUUGAUGUUGAAAUGCGUGUUUUGUUCUAAUUAAUGCCAGAUUUUCUCUUGAUUGUCACAAAUGACGGGAAUAAUAUGGUUUUUUAAUAUAUGUACAAGCGUAUAAAAUGUAAGCUACAAUCUCUUUCUUUUUACAUUAAUUCUGAAAUUAAAUAAACUAAACCCUGGUUUGGAUGAAAAAUGGUGAAAUAAAACUGAAACAACAAAAAUCAUAUUAAUGUACAAUCGGCUAAAGAUUUUUGUGUUUUUGAAGUGCCACCUACAUGAUGCUGUUGUGUUAGAAAAGUAAUUAUGAGUAGAACGGAACACCCUCUGUUAGGCUUAAUAUUUGUGGAUUGAACUGUUAUUUGUAAGCAGUAACUCCGUGUCGCAAUUCGUGUGACGUAUAGGUAUAGAUCUAAAUAGAGACCCUUGUGUGAUAUAUAGUAGGAGAAACUUCUUUUACUAUCAUCUGUUGUAAGUUUUGUUUUUCAGUCAUUAUACCAGAAUGCUUCUUUUUGUACCCUAAAUUUGCUGUUCACUUGUAAAAGGUACAAUGUUGAAUAGUGUUGUUUGUAAACAUUGUGUUACAGUUUCUAAUAAAAAGUGGCUUUCAUAUGUGGAAAA
rnacentral:misc_RNA from 1 species